rnacentral:lncRNA from 1 species
GGGGGCUUUGGUUGGGUUUUUCAAGGACAUUUGUGCUUGUUGCGGUGGGUUCUCAUAUCAGUGUAACAUUUGCCACACAUUUCUCUGUUGCCAUAUGUCCCUGGUGGGACACAUUUGCAUCUGUCACAGCAUGUCAUGCAAGCUCUCAAGCAUAGGUUAGUCCUUGAGUGUAAUUUGCACCUUUGUCCACAUAAUGGGAUGCAAUCUGCCAACAAAGUUGUCCAACAGGUUGUUGUCAGAAAGAUAACAGAUAAGUUCCUUGAGUUUUGGUAAGUAAAAAAAUGAUGUUUUCUUUACCCUUUUUUGUCCUAACAGGCGGCAAUGGUGGACUUGGUGGCUUGUAAGGCGGUGCUGGAGUUGUUGGUGGCUUAACUGGAGGUGUAGGAACUGGGGGCUUAUAUGGGGGAGUUGGUGCUUUAGUUGGUGGUGCUGGUGCUGGAGUUGGUGCUUUGGUUGGGGGUGCUGGAGCAGGUGUUGGGGGCUUAUAUGGGGGUGUAGGGGCCUUGACUGGAGGUGCCGGUGCGGGAGUAGGGGGUUUAUAUGGGGGAGUAGGAGCCUUGGUUGGUGGUGUUGGUGCUGGGGGCUUAUAUGGUGGAGUAGGAGCCUUGGUUGGUGGCGCAGGAGCUGGGGGCUUAUAUGGUGGAGUAGGAGCCUUGGUUGGUGGCGCAGGAGCUGGUGGUUUAUAUGGUGGAGUGGGGGCCUUGGUUGGUGGUUUAUAUGGUGGAGUGGGGGCCUUGGUUGGGGGUGCUGGAGUUGGGGCCUUGUACGGCGGUGCCGGAGUGGUGGGAGGCUUAACGGGUGGAGCAGGGAUAG